GACGAACGCUGGCGGCGCGCUUAACACAUGCAAGUCGAACGGAAAGGCCUGCUUUCCCUUGUGGAUUGCGGGUACUCGAGUGGCGAACGGGUGAGUAACACGUGAGUGAUCUGCCCCCAACUUGGGUAUAAGCCUGGGAAACUGGGUCUAAUUCCCGAUAGGACUGCAGGGUGGUGCCUGUGGUGGAAAACGAUUUUCUAGUGGUUGGGGAUGAGCUCGCGGCCUAUCAGCUUGUUGGUGGGGUAAUGGCCUACCAAGGCGGCGACGGGUAGCCGGCCUGAGAGGGGGGACGGCCACAUUGGGACUGAGAUACGGCCCAGACGCCUACGGGAGGCAGCAGUGGGGAAUAUUACACAAUGGGCGGAAGCCUGAUGCAGCGACGCCGCGUGGGGGAUGACGGCCUUCGGGUUGUAAACUCCUUUCGACCGCGAGGAAGCCACCUGGUUGGAAGGGUGGUGACGGUAGUGGUAGAAGAAGCACCGGCUAACUACGUG
rnacentral:rRNA from 1 species